rnacentral:misc_RNA from 1 species
CCAUAUCAAGUAUGCAUUGAAACUUUACAUUUACAAACACAUGGAAUUUAUUUGAAAAUUGAAACAUAAGUUCCGUAUAAAUAGACUCCCCUUACUUUGGAGCCUGUAAUAAUGAACAUCUACACCCAAGUAAGUUUCUGUUGGUCCACCAUUUAGCAACUCUUGUAAAAACAAAUAUGAAUUAUCUUCAGCAAGUAGAGAACAUUACUCUGCACUUGUCUUCCAAUAUAAAAUUCAAAAACAAAGGAAUAAGAGGGCUGCCAUAUGCCCAUAGCAACCAUAAAAUACAACCAAAUGUAUGCCAAACUUGUUCAUACGGAUAUCCCUUGGAAGACUGAUAGGGUUUGAUGGCCACCCUAGUGACAUCCCAUAACGAUGAGGUGAGAUUACAUAAACCUCACGCUUCCCCUCUUUUACGAACCAAAAGUUCUUUGUUGGAAUUCUGCCAGAAAAUCAACCACGUCAAUCUUGUAGAUACAUGCAAAGGAUGCUGGUCAGGCAAACUUUAAUUAUUUUCCAGAUGCAAACUCACGAGGCAGUAUAGGCAAUACAAUAUAUUCCAACUCCAGGAAGUAAAGCACCAUGGAUUUUAUCAGCUUCAAAUUGCCAACAGAACAUAAAUAACUAGAAACAGUUCACUCUCCAAUUCUCGGUUUUUUCACUACUAUAUCACUACAACAGGCUCCUAGUAGCAAAAGUAAUAUCAAAGGAUGUAAACCUACAGAUCUGUCUUGUCAUGCCUUGUCAAGGUGAAGCUGGAACUGGGUCAGUACCAGAAAUGUGGGAGGCAGCAUCUUCUUUUGACAUGGCAACAUAGUUAACCGGGGCUGCUGGCCUAUUAGUACUGUCGCUUCUCCCUUCUCUAGUGCUGGACCUGCUGCCAUUUAGAUGAGCGUUCAGGGAUAGCCGUCUGCUGGGAGUGCCAUUGGCACCUCCAUUUGCACGUGGGCCCACCACCUUUUUUGUACCAACUGGUCGAGCAGGGCUGGGCCUUGAGCCAAAUAUUGUUUCUUGUUCUGUGUUUUGCUGCUCAUGGUAUUUCUUCUGAUCCCUAAUUCUUCGCUUCUCUUCUUCCCUUUCCUGCCUGAGCAUCGCAUAUUCAUCUAGCAUGGCCAGGAGAGGAACUCCAUCAUAAGCGAAUUGCAUUCCACGAUCUUCCUCCCAUGCCCGAGUUUUGGCAACCAAGGUGUCCACCAGUGCUGGAAUUUUGUUUACCAAAAUCCGGGCUUUCUCUGCACGCUUGAGAUUUAAGUGUGCACCUCUGCUAGCAUUAUACCUAUUUUCAUCCCGGUUAUAAUCCUCAAGCCAACUCUCUUCUUCACAUGCUGACAUCCAUUUCUCAACCUUCUCCAAAAUCUCUUUUCUGCUAAGAGCUUCUUCUUUGGCUAUUGAUAUCUGAUUGUCCAGGUUAGCCAACAACUCAGCAGGCUCAACAUUCCCAGAAUCAAUCAGUGCCAUGAUUUUUUCUCGAGCAGCCUCUGGAUCUAUUUCUAUAUGCACAAGUACAUAUAUUUCUUCAAGUUCUGCUUGCUUUUUGAAGGCAAUUUCUUUCAUUCUGCUGGCUUUUAACUGAUCAAGCCUUUCCACUUCAACCUCAGCCUGCUCAAUCAGAUCCAUAGCAAGAGCACCAGGUACUGUCACUUCAUCAACUGAAGCUGACAUGUUACAGGUAACAUGAUCAAACAAUUUUCUUUCUUCUAUGGAGGUAUCCAUCAGAUUCCAUAGAUCAAUCAGCUGAGUUGCUAACUCUUGAAGCUGUGGAGUGUGGAGCGAAGAUAAUUGUCAAAGAGCUUUAUCAAAUUUUGUGAGAAGAAAGCACAUUUCAAAUGAUUCUUAAUGGGACAGAAGUGCCAAAAAAUCUUCAUGUAUACCAAAAAAUAUGACAGCAAUUGAGUAUGCAUAAAAAAAAACCUUUUCAAGUUCCAUCCCACUUAUAAGAAAACACUACUUAUCUUCCACUUGGAUAUCACUCUUGAACGAUAAUAAGGACAGAUUAACAGGAACUAUCACAGAUUUUUCAUAUUUUCUGAUAUUGUCAAUUGUCAAACAGACAUACCAUGUGAAAACUAAGUUUUCUCUUUCAUAUCAAGAAAUAAAUCCAAAUUACAAGUACAUUAUGAAUAUAUUUGAUGUUACCUGGAAGUAUAAUGUGGACAUGCCUAAAUUUACACAAAGCCUUACUGGGAAAAAAAUAAUGAAAAAAUAUAAGUAAAUGUCUUUAGUUUUCUCCCACUGGAAUUAUGUGACAUUGUUUAUGGAAUAGAAUUCCUAUUUCUCCAUCAAAAAGAAAAGUUUUAAGAAAGUAUUGAUUGAUCAAGAGGCUUAGCCAGUCAGCCUCAGGUUAAAGUCUUGGAGUAGUAUUCAUAUCUAUGUUCAACUGUUCAAGUACAAAAGUAUCAAGGGAAGUGAUGAUAAGUCAUUUUCUUCUUUUGUGGGCACCAAAAGCUAAAACAAAUAAAGCUUACCUUAUGAAGCCUCUGCUUCUUAUCUUCUUUUAGCACUAAGACUGUCUUGGCAAGUCUUGCUAAUGUAUCAUUACUAAUGCUUUUGGACUGCACACCAGUAGAGUCAUUUAAGCUUGGAUGAACUUCAGUUACGGUACUGAAGAAGUCCAUUCCAAGGACAGCACAGAGAUCAUGCACAUUGCUCACAAGUUCAAGGACCUUCUGCAAUCUAUCACUCUACCAUAUCAAAUAAGCAAUUAGCAGUCAUAAACUCAACACAUUUACAGUGCUAGGAGCUGUGCAAUUUUCAUUGCCAAUGCAUCACCAUCAAGACAGAGCUUCACCUUUUCUUUUUGAAGUUCCAGAAGCUGGGCAUGAUAUUCAUCUAAAUUCUUCAAGGAUAGAUCAGUCUCAUCAACUGCAGGAGUCUCAUUAACAUUCAGGUUCCCAGCAAUUUCUCCACAUAUCUUUUGAAUUUGCGACUGUACAUCAGAAAACUCCUUUACUCUCUCCUCUUUCUGUUUCCAGAGCAGUUCAAGUGCUGGUGCUAUAGCUGCAAGUUGUUCCUUGAUUGUUCCAGAAGUUUUCUCUGGCAUUCCAACAAAACUUUUUUCUCCAAGGGCUGAAAGAAGACUGGCCAGUUCAAUUUUGGCAUCUGACAAUGCCUCAAUAAGCUGUGCCCUUGACUUUGCAGCCUGCUCAACUUUCUUCUUAUACACAUCCAAGCACUCUUGUUCUAUUUCAAGAAGCAUUUUGUCUCGUUCCUCGUCACUCUCACCAACCUCGUCCCAGAUUUGCUGCAAUUUUUGCAGCAGAGUACCACAAGUUGUUUCUCCAAGAAGAGGAUUAUGACCAUCUGUGACUGCCAUUGACAGUAAUUUUACAACCUAACAUGCAUCACAGAGCAUUUAAAAGCAAUUCUUGAUUUAUGUAUUUGGCAUCAAGGGGCAUUUAUUGGUUGCACAUAUAAACUACAAUCCCAUAACUGGGAAUCAAAUGUAUGUACCUUAUUGACUGGCAAGAAACAGACCUCUAUCAGACAAAUAAAAAAUGCACAACUGUCAGAAAUGGUCACAGAUAAGGACAAACAACUAGUGAGUAGAGGGUUCAAGCAUUGGAGAAUUAGUAUAGUUGAAAAAAACAACAAUAAAUAAGCCCACAUAGUAGGAAAGACUCCCAGCUUAACAGUUUUAACUUAUUUAAUAGCAAAGGCAUCACAACAUUCAAUAAGACAUUAGAUACAUGGAAAAAAGAUAAGCAAUGAUCAAACCCUAUUGCUUGAAAAUAUGACACUUAGCAUGUCUAUUACCAUAUACAAACCCUCUAGAUCAUAAAAAAGUUUCAGACUCCACAAACUGCCUACAUCUUUUCUUAAAAAGCAAUGUCUUGGCAAACAAAUGAGGUUCUGAGAAUUGAUCAUUAAAUCCUGUUUCUUUGUAAGCAGAAGCAUACAUUCCAAAUCACUUUAACAAUUUAGAACCUACUGUUGCUAUUUAAUUUCUAAGAAAAUAUGACAAAAGAAAAGGAAAACUAUAAUUCUGAAUCUUGAAUCUAGAAUUCUUCUCUUUUGUCAUAUUUCUCGUUAGCAACACACAGGACAACUUAUUCUACUCUUAUCUCAGAAUUUAUCAUUCCUUUUUUUCUUGCUCACACAAUCUCAGCAACCAAACAAGACAUUACUUAAUUGUAUCACAGCAAUUCAUUUAAUUGAAUCACAGUAUCAAUUCACUUAACUGAAUCACAACAGCAAUUAAUUUCUUUUUCCUUGCUCACAUUUACUCAGUAACCAAACACUAGCUGAGUUUAAUUAACUAUAAAACUCUUAGUAAACAAAUCGCGUCCCAUCUCCAGACACUAAAACUGCUCAGCUACGGAUCAAAAGAAUAAGAAUCAAUAACAAUAUCUCCAAUUGGCUAGCCAAAGCAUAGUCAUCGAACCCCAUGAUCACAGUCACAUAAUAUUCACUUCCCAUUGGAACUUUUCAAUCAUCAAACAACUAAAAGAACCCAAAACUCAGAAUCCUAAUUUGAACUAAAAUGCACCACCAAAAACCUCACAUUGACUGAAUCAUGCACAAGCACAGCUUCAACAACUCCCAGAUCUAUCCCCUGUCCCAAAAACUUAAAGACAAGAAUGGCCAGUAGGCAAACAGUACUCAAAUCGAGAUCAAGAAAGCUAUACUAGGCUAAAAAAAAAA